GAUUUUCCUCUCCCACUUUGGGAGCCAGUGGAUGAAGAGGGUGGAACCAUAGAAUAGAAGGAACCCAGAUACAGAUCACUGUUCAGAGGAGAGCUGCCUGCCAGUCAGGAAGACCCAUUUUGGACUUUAUAAAUGCUCUGACCUUAAAAGGAAUAUUGGAGGCAGGAGGAAACAGAGGAAGCAAGAAGAAUUUCCUGGAAGGUAAUUAUUGUAAUAUAAGCAUACUUCGGAGAUAUUGCAGGUUCCGUUCCAGACCACUG
rnacentral:lncRNA from 1 species